rnacentral:rRNA from 1 species
GACAGAGGGUGCAAACGUUGUUCGGAAUUACUGGGCGUAAAGCGAGUGUAGGCGGUUCGAUAAGUCGGAUGUGAAAGCCCCGGGCUCAACCCGGGAAGUGCACUCGAUACUGUCGAGCUAGAGUAUCGGAGAGGUUGGUGGAAUUCUCGGUGUAGAGGUGAAAUUCGUAGAUAUCGAGAGGAACACCGAUGGCGAAGGCAGGUUC